rnacentral:lncRNA from 1 species
AUUAGAUCAAAAAAUAGAAAAUAAAAUUUUAAUUAUUUCAUAAAAUUGAUCUGUUGCAUGCCUAGACUAGUUGUAGAAUUGUUCUAGUAACUUGUCUAGAAUAGUUUUUAUUUUGAAUAGUUCAAUUUAAAUUCUAUUUUUUAGAUAUUACAUGUGAUGUAUCAGAUCUGAAAGCAUGUUAAUUAGAUUAAUUUUUGAUACAUGAGAUG